rnacentral:rRNA from 1 species
GUAAGGAUCUGCCUACAGGACUGGGACAACGUUUGGAAACGGACGCUAAAACCGGAUGUGCCGAGAGGUGAAAUAUUUUAUAGCCUGUAGAUGAGCUUGCGUCUGAUUAGCUAGUUGGUGAGGUAAGGGCUCACCAAGGCGACGAUCAGUAGCUGGUCUGAGAGGACGAUCAGCCACACUGGGACUGAGACACGGCCCAGACUCCUACGGGAGGCAGCAGUGGGGAAUUUUCCGCAAUGGGCGAAAGCCUGACGGAGCAAUACCGCGUGAGGGAGGAAGGUCUGUGGAUUGUAAACCUCUUUUGAUAGGGAAGAAGCAAGUGACGGUACCUAUCGAAUCAGCAUCGGCUAACUCCGUGCCAGCAGCCGCGGUAAUACGGAGGAUGCAAGCGUUAUCCGGAAUUAUUGGGCGUAAAGCGUCCGUAGGUGGUUAAUCAAGUCUAUUGUCAAAGCCUGGGGCUUAACCCUGGAGAGGCGGUGGAAACUGGUUAACUAGAGUGCGGUAGGGGCAGAGGGAAUUCCCAGUGUAGCGGUGAAAUGCGUAGAUAUUGGGAAGAACACCGGUGGCGAAAGCGCUCUGCUGGGCCUGCACUGACACUGAGGGACGAAAGCUAGGGGAGCGAAAGGGAUUAGAUACCCCU